rnacentral:rRNA from 1 species
AUUGAACGCUGGCGGAAUGCUUUACACAUGCAAGUCGAACGGCAGCACGGACUUCGGUCUGGUGGCGAGUGGCGAACGGGUGAGUAAUGUAUCGGAACGUGCCCAGUCGUGGGGGAUAACGUAGUGAAAAUUACGCUAAUACCGCAUACGAUCUAUGGAUGAAAGCGGGGGAUCGCAAGACCUCGCGCGAUUGGAGCGGCCGAUAUCAGAUUAGGUAGUUGGUGGGGAAAAGGCCCACCAAGCCAACGAUCUGUAGCGGGUCUGAGAGGACGACCAGGCACACUGGAAAUGAGGCGCGGUCCAGACUCCUACGGGAGGCAGCAGUGGGGAAUUUUGGACAAUGGGCGAAAGCCUGAUCCAGCCAUUCCGCGUGCAGGAUGAAGGCCCUCGGGUUGUAAACUGCUUUUGUACAGAACGAAAAGGUUUCUACUAAUACUAGGAGCUCAUGACGGUACUGUAAGAAUAAGCACCGGCUAACUACGUGCCAGCCGCCGCCGUAA